CGAGGACUUACGGCGUCGCCAUCUGUCGGAAGCGCCCCGCUUUCGUAGUAUGACGGAUAACGCGGCGCGCUCCUCAUAGGUUUGUCUGCUGCCGGUCAAUAAAUACGCCAUGCGGGAGCACUCCUGGACAUUUCUGUUUCCACUACCUCCGGGAUCGGCCCACGCAAGAGUUCCUACCAGAAAGCUCGCAUUCGUGCACAGCGUUUGCCGCCAACGUUUCUCGACUAUAUAUCCGUGCCAUUCAAGGGAUGGAUGCCGCACUUGGGAUUCCCAACAUUAUGCACUUCAACCAUGAUGGUGAGAUGGCAACACACCUCUAAGGCGUGCAACUCGGGGAGAAGAUGACCUGCUCCCGUAAGAUGUUGGCGCUUGGGCCGGUUCACCACACCCAUCUGGAGCCAUGCCAACCAAAGAUAACGAUCAGAGCACAAGCUUGUUGUCAGCAUGCUGCAGCGAGCUCAUCGCAGCACUUUGCAUUGGCUACAUUAUCUGCGCAACACAGCAGACGCAGAUACAUACAACUGUAGUACGUACGACAGGGCUGGAGUGCGUGCUUGUGCUCCAGUCUCCAUACACAAGUGCAAAAUUUGGCUGACAUAUUCACAACAACAUACGCUAUCCACAAAAUGUUUUUUCAACAAGCCCGAGAGGUGGUUCAGGGUUCCUAAUUCUGUCAGCAUUGUGCAGUCAUGGCUCCACACAUCUGUAUUUUAUGGCACCGUGGGACACUUGAACUGCAUGGCAAGCGAUUUAGACCACGAAAUUUAGGUGGAUUGGACACCAGAUGUGAGCAAAAUUUUGUAUACAAAUUUUCUGUACUGCUGGUAUUGUAAA